rnacentral:snoRNA from 1 species
UUGGAUGAUGAAAUGCACUGGACUCUUGAGCAUUUUAUUGCAAAUAUUGAAGGAAAACCAUUUGCCUAAAAAGCAUUCUCUGACUA